rnacentral:rRNA from 1 species
UACGAAGGGGGCUAGCGUUGCUCGGAAUCACUGGGCGUAAAGCGCACGUAGGCGGGUCUUUAAGUCAGGGGUGAAAUCCUGGAGCUCAACUCCAGAACUGCCUUUGAUACUGAGGAUCUCGAGUCCGGGAGAGGUGAGUGGAACUCCGAGUGUAGAGGUGAAAUUCGUAGAUAUUGGGAGGAACACCAGUGGCGAAGGCGGCUCACUGGACCGGUACUGACGCUGAUGCGCGAAAGCGUGGGGAGCAAACGGGG